GCUGCGGUGGUGGAGGUGCAGGAAGGUGAGGGCCAUGGGGCGCGGCGUGGGGAGCGCCAACGCCCAGGAAGGAGCGCAUGUUGAGCAGGGAGCCCUGUGCGAGGAAUGCGCUGUUGGUCCAGUUGGAGAACUUGCCGAUGUGGCAGGUGUACAGUCCGUGGCUAGGCAGGAAGGCGGGGUGUUGCAGCGGCGCCCCGGCGGAGGGCCCGUGCGCGCCGGGGUGGCCCGCGGGUGGUGGUGGCGAAGCCUUGGGCGCACCGUCGGGGCUCGUGGCUGUCUCCGCCAGCGACCAGAUCUUGGGCUUGCCGUGCGGCGCACCCUGCAGCCGCGCCUGCCCCGCCGCCCAGCUCCGCGGCCCCCGGUCGGCCCGACGAGGCGGCGGC
ensembl:lncRNA novel transcript, antisense to IRX1